CGGGGCGUGGCGCAGCCCGGCUAGCGCGCUUGCAUGGGGUGUAAGAGGUCCCGGGUUCAAAUCCCGGCGCCCCGA
rnacentral:tRNA from 3 species